GAUGAACGCUGGCGGCGUGCCUAAUACAUGCAAGUCGAGCGAACGGACGAGAAGCUUGCUUUUCUGAUGUUAGCGGCGGACGGGUGAGUAACACGUGGAUAACCUACCUAUAAGACUGGGAUAACUUCGGGAAACCGGAGCUAAUACCGGAUAAUAUUUUGAACCGCAUGGUUCAAAAGUGAAAGACGGUCUUGCUGUCACUUAUAGAUGGAUCCGCGCUGCAUUAGCUAGUUGGUAAGGUAACGGCUUACCAAGGCAACGAUGCAUAGCCGACCUGAGAGGGUGAUCGGCCACACUGGAACUGAGACACGGUCCAGACUCCUACGGGAGGCAGCAGUAGGGAAUCUUCCGCAAUGGGCGAAAGCCUGACGGAGCAACGCCGCGUGAGUGAUGAAGGUCUUCGGAUCGUAAAACUCUGUUAUUAGGGAAGAACAUAUGUGUAAGUAACUGUGCACAUCUUGACGAUACCUAAUCAGAAAGCCACGGCUAACUACGUG
rnacentral:rRNA from 1 species